UACGUAGGUGGCGAGCGUUGUCCGGAUUUACUGGGCGUAAAGCGCGCGCAGGCGGCUGGUCAAGUCCGAUGUGAAAGCUCCCGGCUUAACUGGGAAAUUGCAUCGGAAACUGAUCGGCUGGAGGGUGGGAGAGGGUAGCGGAAUUCCCGGUGUAGUGGUGAAAUGCGUAGAUAUGGGGAGGAACACCAGUGGCGAAAGCGGCUACCUGGUCCGUAAGUGACGCUGAGGCGCGAAAGCGAGGGGAGCAAACGGG
rnacentral:rRNA from 1 species